CCCGCUGAACUUAAGCAUAUCAAUAAGCGGAGGAAAGGAAACUAACAAGGAUUCCCCUAGUAACUGCGAGUGAAGCGGGAAAAGCUCAAAUUUAAAAUCUGUCAGUCUUUGGCUGUCCGAGUUGUAAUCUAGAGAAGUGUUAUCCGCGCUGGACCGUGUACAAGUCUCCUGGAAUGGAGCGUCAUAGAGGGUGAGAAUCCCGUCUUUGACACGGACUGCCAGGGCUUUUGUGAUGCGCUCCCAAAGAGUCGAGUUGUUUGGGAAUGCAGCUCAAAAUGGGUGGUAAAUUCCAUCUAAAGCUAAAUAUUGGCGAGAGACCGAUAGCGAACAAGUACCGUGAGGGAAAGAUGAAAAGAACUUUGGAAAGAGAGUUAAACAGUACGUGAAAUUGCUGAAAGGGAAACGCUUGAAGUCAGUCGCGUCAUCCAGGGAUCAACCUUGCUUUUGCUUGGUGUACUUUCUGGUUGACGGGUCAGCAUCAAUUUUGACCAUUGAAAAAAGAUUAAGGGAAUGUGGCAUACAUAGUGAUGUGUUAUAGCCCUUGGUUGCAUACAAUGGUUGGGAUUGAGGAACUCAGCACGCCGCAAGGCCGGGUUUUUAUUAAUCACGUACGUGCUUAGGAUGUUGGCAUAAUGGCUUUAAUCGACCCGUCUUGAAACACGG
rnacentral:rRNA from 1 species